rnacentral:rRNA from 1 species
CCUACGGGGGGCAGCAGUGGGGAAUUUUGGACAAUGGGCGAAAGCCUGAUCCAGCAAUGCCGCGUGCAGGACGAAGGCCUUCGGGUUGUAAACUGCUUUUGUACGGAACGAAACGGUCUCUUCUAAUAAAGGGGGCUAAUGACGGUACCGUAAGAAUAAGCACCGGCUAACUACGUGCCAGCAGCCGCGGUAAUACGUAGGGUGCGAGCGUUAAUCGGAAUUACUGGGCGUAAAGCGUGCGCAGGCGGUUAUAUAAGACAGAUGUGAAAUCCCCGGGCUCAACCUGGGACCUGCAUUUGUGACUGUAUAGCUAGAGUACGGUAGAGGGGGAUGGAAUUCCGCGUGUAGCAGUGAAAUGCGUAGAUAUGCGGAGGAACACCGAUGGCGAAGGCAAUCCCCUGGACCUGUACUGACGCUCAUGCACGAAAGCGUGGGGAGCAAACAGGAUUAGAUACCCCAGUAGUC